UACGGAGGGUGCAAGCGUUAUCCGGAAUCAUUGGGUUUAAAGGGUCCGCAGGCGGAAGAAUAAGUCAGUGGUGAAAUCUUACAGCUUAACUGUGAAACUGCCAUUGAUACUGUUUUUCUUGAAUUUGGUCGAAGUGGGCGGAAUAUGACAUGUAGCGGUGAAAUGCAUAGAUAUGUCAUAGAACACCGAUAGCGAAGGCAGCUCACUAGGCCUGAAUUGACGCUCAUGGACGAAAGCGUGGGGAGCAAACAGG
rnacentral:rRNA from 1 species